rnacentral:rRNA from 1 species
GGUCAAGUUAUUAAGGGUGCAGGGCGGAUGCCUUGGCACUAGGAGCCGAUGAAGGACGUGAUAAGCUGCGAUAAGCUUCGGGGAGUUGCACGUAAACUUUGAUCCGAAGAUUUCCGAAUGAGGAAACUCACUUAGAGUAAUGUCUAAGUAUCAUUAAGUGAAUACAUAGCUUAAUGAGGGGAACUCAGGGAACUGAAACAUCUAAGUACCUGAAGGAAGAGAAAGAAAUUCGAUUCCGUAAGUAGCGGCGAGCGAACGCGGAUUAGCCCAAACCAAUAAAGUUUUCUUUAUUGGGGUUGCGGACAUAUCAUAACGAAGAGGUAUCGUAAUUGAAGAGGUUUGGAAAGACCCACCACAGAAGGUAAUAGUCCUGUAUGUUAAACGAGAAGACUUCAGAUAUGAUCCAGAGUACCACGGGACACGUGAAACCCUGUGGGAAGCAGGAGGGACCACCCUCCAAGGCUAAAUACUACCUAGUGACCGAUAGCGUAUAGUACCGUGAGGGAAAGGUGAAAAGAACCCCGGGAGGGGAGUGAAAUAGAACCUGAAACCCUGCACUUACAAGCUGUGGAAGCACAUUUCUUGUGUGACCGCGUACUUUUUGUAGAACGGGCCAACGAGUUACGUUAAGUAGCAAGGUUAAGCACUUAAGGUGCGGAGCCGUAGCGAAAGCGAGUUUUAACUGAGCGUUCAGUUACUUGACGUAGACCCGAAACCGGGCGACCUACCCAUGAGCAGGAUGAAGCGAAAGUAAAAUUUCGUGGAGGUCCGAACCCACGAGCGUUGAAAAGCUCGGGGAUGACUUGUGGGUAGCGGUGAAAUUCCAAUCGAGCCCGGAGAUAGCUGGUUCUCCCCGAAAUAGCUUUAGGGCUAGCCUCAAGGUGAGAGAUACGGAGGUAGAGCACUGAAUGUCCUAGGGGGUAUUGCACCUACCGAAGACUAUCAAACUCCGAAUGCCGUCAUCUUAUACUUGGGAGUCAGACUGUGGGUGAUAAGAUUCAUAGUCGAAAGGGCAACAGCCCAGAUCGUCAGCUAAGGUCCCUAAAUGUAAGUUAAGUGGUAAAGGAUGUGGGAUUGCACAGACAACCAGGAUGUUGGCUUAGAAGCAGCCACUCAUUCAAAGAGUGCGUAAUAGCUCACUGGUCGAGUGAUCCUGCGCCGAAGAUUUCCGGGGCUAAAACUUACUACCGAAGCUACGGCAUCAGUAAUGAUGGGUAGGGGAGCUUCCCAUACGGGUUGAAGCAUGACCGUAAGGACAUGUGGACAGUAUGGGAGUGAGAAUGUUGGCAUGAGUAGCGAGAUGUGGGUGAGAAUCCCACAGGCCGUAAACCCAAGGUUUCCAGGGGAAGGUUCGUCCGCCCUGGGUUAGUCGGGACCUAAGCUGAGGCCGAAAGGCGUAGGUGAUGGACAACAGGUUGAUAUUCCUGUACUACCGAUAACCGUUUGAGAGAAGGGAUGACACAGUAGGAUAAGCUAAGCACACUGUUGGUUAUGUGUGCCCAAGCAUUGAGGCAGUCAAAGUAGGCAAAUCCGCUUUGAUAAUGCUGGGAUGUGAUGGGGAGCGAAAUUUAGUAGCGAAGUAGCUGAUUUCACACUGUCAAGAAAAGUCUCUAUCGAGGUUAAAGGUACCCGUACCGCAAACCGACACAGGUGGGUGAGGAGAGUAUCCUAAGGCCAGCGAGAGAACUGUUGUUAAGGAACUCGGCAAAAUGACCCCGUAACUUAGGGAUAAGGGGUGCCACCAUCAGGUGGCCGCAGAGAAUAGGCCCAAGCGACUGUUUACCAAAAACAUAGGUUUCUGCUAAGUCGCAAGACGAUGUAUAGGAGCUGACGCCUGCCCGGUGCUGGAAGGUUAAGGGGAUCUGUUAGAGCAAUCGAAGCAGUGAACUUAAGCCCCAGUAAACGGCGGCCGUAACUAUAACGGUCCUAAGGUAGCGAAAUUCCUUGUCGGGUAAGUUCCGACCCGCACGAAAGGCGUAACGAUUUGGGCACUGUCUCAACAACAGACUCGGUGAAAUUGUAAUUCCGGUGAAGAUGCCGGAUACCUGCGACAGGACGGAAAGACCCCAUGGAGCUUUACUGUAGCUUGACAUUGGGUCUUGGUACUACAUGUACAGGAUAGGUGGGAGGCUUUGAAACCAGGACGCCAGUUUUGGCGGAGCCAUCCUUGGGAUA